UACGUAGGGUGCGAGCGUUAAUCGGAAUUACUGGGCGUAAAGCGUGCGCAGGCGGUUUUGUAAGCCAGAUGUGAAAUCCCCGGGCUUAACCUGGGAAUGGCAUUUGGGACUGCAAGGCUUGAGUGCGGCAGAGGAGACUGGAAUUCCUGGUGUAGCAGUGAAAUGCGUAGAUAUCAGGAGGAACACCGAUGGCGAAGGCAGCCUCCUGGGCCAGCACUGACGCUCAUGCACGAAAGCGUGGGGAGCAAACAGG
rnacentral:rRNA from 1 species